GAAAAAUAUACUAUUUGAAGUUAGAAACUUUAUGGUUAAACAGCAGGUUAGACACACCUAAAAGGAGAAUGAACUGGAAGUAGAUCUGAAGAAGUUACACAGAUGGAACAAAGGGGUACAGAGUGAUGGAAACUAAGGGAAAGAGGUUAAAAAACAUGGAAGAUAGAGAAGGUAUGGCAUAUAAUCAGAGUUCCAGAAGGAGAGAAUAUUUUAAAGAGACAGAAUUUUGGGGAAUUGAUAAAAUUUAUAAACUCUUAAGAGUCAGGAAAUCCAAUUAAUCCCAAGCAGGAUUGGGGAAAAAAUCCCAAAACUAGAUAAAUCUUAAGAAAUUACAGAACAUUAGAAAGACUAACAUCUAAAAAGCAGCUGUAAAGAAAAAGAAGAGAGGUGGUGGAAUUAGAUGGUAGGACACCUGUUGCUCAAUGCUUCUGGGAUGGGGCAAAAGAUUUAGUUUCGAUGACAGAAGUGUGAGGAGGAGGAUAAAAUGCACUUCUCCCAGUGAUUGUAAGCCCAGGGCUGCAGCUGCCAGGAUAGUUUGCCCAGAGGGAGUGAGGGGCCCUGUACUAGAGUCCCCACCAUCACGUGUCAAGCCUACUUUAAACCAAAGCACAGACUGACUGAUAAAAGCAGGGAAAGACUAUUCAACUGUUAGGCUCACAGAACCACUGAGAAGGCUGGAGAGAAGCUCAAAAAAGAGAGAAGAGCAGCCCAGGAAUAAAGUGAGCAUUAAAGCACUCUAAAUCUGACCUCGGAACCAGAGUGUUGAUGUGAAGAUGUCACUGUUGCUGCCAAAUUACUGCUUUCCCCUGCCUUGCUCUAGAUUGAGGAAUACCCUGCAGAGGCAGCUGAUUAGCUGGGCGUUGGUCACCUGGCUGCAAGGGGAACACUGGGAAAGCAAUCUGUCUCUUAUAUGGUGGGCUCUACCUUCUCUCUAGGUUUGUGGUGAGGAGUUUCCAAUGUUGAAAAGGGGGUUCAGAUGAUGGGUG